AUGGAUUUGCUCUUAGUUGGUACAGGAACAUCAUACCAGUCACACUCGAACAAUGUGACUUCAUGCUGGUUAGGAAAAUCAAGGAUGAUGAUUUUUUUAAUCACUCCAUGCCAUCAUUGCCCUUGACGACAACACCACUAUUCUGUGUUGAUAGAUUUUUCUCUACAUCUGAUGUCCGGAAGAAAAACCCAUUGAUGGAACACCUGUUCCUCACACUAACUAUUUGUUCUAGACCACGAGACAAAGAAUAAAUCAUUUCAUCUACUUUUCCCUGUGC
rnacentral:lncRNA from 1 species